rnacentral:rRNA from 1 species
CCUACGGGAGGCUGCAGUGGGGAAUAUUGGACAAUGGGGGGAACCCUGAUCCAGCCAUGCCGCGUGUGUGAAGAAGGCCCUCGGGUUGUAAAGCACUUUCAGUGAGGAAGAACGCCUGGUGGUUAAUACCCAUCAGGAAAGACAUCACUCACAGAAGAAGCACCGGCUAACUCCGUGCCAGCAGCCGCGGUAAUACGGAGGGUGCGAGCGUUAAUCGGAAUUACUGGGCGUAAAGCGCGCGUAGGUGGCUUGAUAAGCCGGUUGUGAAAGCCCCGGGCUCAACCUGGGAACGGCAUCCGGAACUGUCAAGCUAGAGUGCAGGAGAGGAAGGUAGAAUUCCCGGUGUAGCGGUGAAAUGCGUAGAGCUCGGGAGGAAUACCAGUGGCGAAGGCGGCCUUCUGGACUGACACUGACACUGAGGUGCGAAAGCGUGGGUAGCAAACAGGAUUAGAUACCCUUGUAGUC